rnacentral:rRNA from 1 species
AGGACUAACGUUGGCGGCGUGCCUAAUACAUGCAAGUCGAGCGGAUAGGGGGCAACUCCUAUUAGCGGCGAACGGGUGAGUAACACGUGGAUGAUCUACCUUUGAGUUUGGGACAACCAGCCGAAAGGUUGGCUAAUACCGAAUGUGACCACGACCAGUAUCAUCUGGUUGCGGUAAAAGCCGGGGACCGCAAGGCCUGGCGCUUGAAAAUGAGUCCGCGUCUGAUUAGCUAGUUGGCGGGUAAUGGCCCACCAAGGCGACGAUCAGUAGCCGGCCUGAGAGGGUGAACGGCCACACUGGGACUGAGACACGGCCCAGACUCCUACGGGAGGCAGCAGUAGGGAAUUUUCCACAAUGGGCGCAAGCCUGAUGGAGCAACGCCGCGUGAGGGAUGAAGGUCUUCGGAUUGUAAACUCCUGUCAUUUGGGAACAAGUCGCUUACGUUAACUGCGUGAGCGUUGAUAGUACCAGAAGAGGAAGGACGGCUAACUCUGUGCCAGCAG